GAGUUUGAUCGUGGCUCAGAUUGAACGCUGGCGGCAUGCCUUACACAUGCAAGUCGAGCGGAUGACGGGAGCUUGCUCCUUGAUUCAGCGGCGGACGGGUGAGUAAUGCCUAGGAAUCUGCCUGGUAGUGGGGGACAACGUUUCGAAAGGAACGCUAAUACCGCAUACGUCCUACGGGAGAAAGCAGGGGACCUUCGGGCCUUGCGCUAUCAGAUGAGCCUAGGUCGGAUUAGCUAGUUGGUGGGGUAAUGGCUCACCAAGGCGACGAUCCGUAACUGGUCUGAGAGGAUGAUCAGUCACACUGGAACUGAGACACGGUCCAGACUCCUACGGGAGGCAGCAGUGGGGAAUAUUGGACAAUGGGCGAAAGCCUGAUCCAGCCAUGCCGCGUGUGUGAAGAAGGUCUUCGGAUUGUAAAGCACUUUAAGUUGGGAGGAAGGGCAGUAAGUUAAUACCUUGCUGUUUUGACGUUACCGACAGAAUAAGCACCGGCUAACUCUGUGCCAGCA
rnacentral:rRNA from 2 species